UAAGAGCAAUGAUAAUUUAAGUAGGUAGGUAUCUAUUAUCUAAUAUUGUAUUACAUAUUAUUAUUAUUUUAUGUCUAUCGCUUUUAUGCCUAACCUAACCUAUUUAGUGUUUUGUCGGAACGACAUUUGGUCGGAAAAAUAUAUAUAAUAUACAUAAGGAUACGAAUGUACACCUAUUUAUUCCAAUAUUUUAUGCGCCCCCAAAUUAUAAUUUUGAUGACGAGUACAAUAUUACAUGUCGAUGACGACGAUAACAAUUUGAAUAUAAUAUUUAUUUUUAGAUUUAAAAUAAGUAAUAACAAUCACAAUAGAUUUAAUUUAUAGGUAUUAAAUUUCAUGGAAUUUAUAAACGUUUAAAUUGAUCACACGGCACACACUUCUUUCACAGGCCGCCGGCUGGCGAUUCAAGAUAUAAAAAAGCGUCGUAUGCUCACACAAUUAUUUUAUGGAACAUUUUUUUCAACCAAAUUAGGGAGUUUAGUGCCUUCUGCGUCCUCUCCCUGGAUCCACCACUGUAUUAUAUUUAUUAGCUAAACAAAAAUAUAUUUAUAAACAAGUAGAAAGUUUCACACAAUUUUUAUUAAAACAUACAGAAAUUUAACAAUCAAAUUCAAGUGUUAUUAUUCAUUAUAAUAAUUAUGUAUUAAUAUUGUGUACUAUAUACUUUGCUUUUGACGGAAAGGGUGACAUUAUGUUUGCCGAAGAGAGGAACAUUUUUCGCGACGGGCCUGAAUAACUGUGGUAUACUGCAAAACAACUGGACGAGAAACAGACAUUAUGUAGCUGAAGUUUUACCACAACAAAAAUAAUAAAACAAUCACUUAUUAUUGACGUACGUAAUUUCUCUUUAUCUUAACGAAAUCCAAUGACUAAUCGACUGAAUAGCGGGGAAUUCAUA